rnacentral:lncRNA from 1 species
AACCUGAUUUCGGUAAAGGAAAUGAUAAGGAUGAAGAACCAACUGUUAGACAGAAGAAAGAAGCUUCACCAGAAGAAUGUGAUGAAGCAGUUGAAGAUUUAACCAUGGCCAAAGCCAAAGCAAAAGCAAAACAGUUACAAGAUUCGCAGAAUGGUAUUCUACCUAUACUUAAGAAAAUUUGGGCUGUGCUAUUAGGGAUUGGUCCUGCUUUGAGAGCUGUUGCUUCAAUGAGCAGGUUGAAAAUAUAUUCUGCAAGAUUCACAGAAUGGUAUUCAACCUAUACUUAAGAAAAUUUGGGCUGUGCUAUUAGGGAUUGGUCCUGCUUUGAGAGCUGUUGCUUCCAUGAGCAGG